rnacentral:rRNA from 1 species
UACGUAGGGGGCUAGCGUUGUCCGGAUUUAUUGGGCGUAAAGAGCGUGUAGGCGGCCAGGUAGGUCUGCUGUGAAAACUCGAGGCUUAACCUCGAGAUGUCGGCGGAAACCAUCUGGCUAGAGUCCGGAAGAGGAGAGUGGAAUUCCUGGUGUAGCGGUGAAAUGCGUUGAUAUCAUCUGGAAUACCGGAGGCGAAGGCGGCUCACUGGGGGUUUUCUGACGCUGAGGAACGAAAGCCAGGGUAGCGAACGGG